UACGUAGGUGGCAAGCGUUGUCCGGAUUUAUUGGGUUUAAAGGGUGCGUAGGCGGCUUGAUAAGUCAGUGGUGAAAGCCGAUCGCUUAACGAUCGAACUGCCAUUGAUACUGCCAGGCUUGAGUAUAGUUGAGGUAGGCGGAAUUGACAGUGUAGCGGUGAAAUGCAUAGAUAUUGUCAAGAACACCAAUUGCGAAGGCAGCUUACUAAAGUAUAACUGACG
rnacentral:rRNA from 1 species